GUUUCUUCAGAGACAUCUGGUAAAAUUGAAACGAUUUGAAAAAGAUUAGCAUGAUCUUUGUACAAAGAAUGACACACACAAAUUGGGAAAUUGUCUAAAUUUUU